AAACGCGCCCCCGAAGCCUUCCGGGAAGGGGCAAGGACGAGCGAGAAGCCUGGGUGGUGGGACCUGGAGCAGCAGCUGGGCCUGCAAAGACGGACCUCCCGACACCUCCUCCUUUCCCAUCUGACGCUCCUUCCGUUGCACUGGUGGGCGUGUCGGAAGCACAGUGACAGGACGCGGCAUUUCUAGUGUCUCCACCCUGGUUCUGGAUGAAAAGAACAUGGAGAUAAAGAGAAGACCCUAGAAGCUUUCAGAGACUGAAAGAGUCACAGAAUGAGCACCAAGAACCAGAAUGGCACUGAACUUUUUAACACUAGCCCACAACACCACAAGACCUGCCUUCGGCAUUCUAGGGGAAAAUGAUUUCUAACCAAGAUGUGUGCAUCAUGCCAAACUGUCAAUCAAUUAUCCAAAAACUGAACUCCCAUAUGCAGUUUCCAAGGAAGCUACUGUCAUGCAUAUGACAACAAAUGAAGGUUGUGAAACCAAGAAGGAAGAUGGCCUAGGAUCUAAGAAACAAGGAACCCAAUGCAGAAGAGUGAUGAAGGGGAUUCUCAGGGCAAUGGUGCAGACAAACUUAAGGACUUAUGUACACACAGCCAGGUAGGAGCAGGAGGACAGAGGACUUCAGAGAAAAAUAAGACCGAUAGGUUCUCAGAUGGGUUUGAAUAUAUUGCUAGAAGUUUAGACCUGUUUGUGGGAAGAAAUUGUAACGUUAUGUCAAAAACUAAUUAAAUGAAAAACUGAGGUAAUCACUAACCUCAGGAAAAACAAAAAACUGUAGAAGACAGCAAUUAUAACCAUCAUAUAGUACUUGUUUAUCUGUGUAUAAUGUAUAUGAAGUUAUAAUAGUAUAAAAACUCAGUACUGAUAGCAACUGUGAUAGAACUGUAUUGAAGGGAAAAGUAGUUUGUAUGUGGCAUCUGGUGCAGCAUCCAAAUUUUCUGCAGGAGGAAGCCAAUAAAAAGUACCUAAAAAUGAAGGUAAGGAAUGAUAAUUAGAGAUAUGGAAGUAAAUGUCAGAAGGAAUGGCCCAAGGAGUUGAAAGUAGUUGCCUCCGAGGAGGGGCUGAUUGGUAAAGUCUGCUACUUUA